AUGGUUAAUGUACAUUGAUGAACUGUGUUUAGCCCAUUUGGCUAUGUUCAAUCAUUUUUUUUAAAAAGGUUUCGGAUUAUAAGCAUUGUGUUGGAUUGUAACCGGAUUUUGAAUUUAUGAUUAAUGUAUAUUGACGAACUUAUUUUAGCCGAUUAUAUCCAUUGUGUUGGAUGGUAACCGGUUUUUUGAAUUUAUGAUUAAUGUAUAUUGAUGAACUGUGUUUAGCCCAUUUGGUUAUGUUCAAUCAUUUAUAAAAGAAUAGGUCGCCGACUAUAUCCAUUGUGUUUGGUGGUAACCGGAUUUUGAAUUUAACAUGAAUGUAUAUUGAUGAACUGUGUUUGCCCAUUUGGCUAUGUUCUAUCAUAAAAAAGAGAGUUGCUCAUUAUAUUCAUUGUGUUGGAUGGUAAUUAGAUUUUGAAUUCAUGAUAAAUGUAUAUUGAUGAACUUAUUUUAGCCCAGUUAAAUGAUUGACCAUUUCAGUCUUAUUGACUGAUUGCACACUAUAGACAUUGUGUAUGCUGGUGACAUGAUUUUGAAUUGAUGUGCUGCCAGAUUGCAAAUUUGUCAUAUUUUCCUUUCUAUCUCAAAGUUUAUUCCGGGCUAGUGACAAAUUUACAUUAUUAAUAUACUAUAUGGCAAAUUGUCAAGUAUACAAUUAAAUAUUUCUAGACAAUGUCACGAUCAACACGUCAAAAACCCAAGGAGUUCCGCAACACAGUCCAGAUGGUACAGUCACACCGCAACGCCACCCAGCCGUUUCAGCCCCGCAACCGGUGAAUCUGAACCCGCAACAACUUGUGGUCGUGGUGAGCCUUGUUGCAGAACAGCAUUGUUCCGUGUUUGCGCAGCAAAGGAGCAUUUUGGCUGAUGAUUCGCUGCACUGUCAGACAGUGUUGAAAAAAAUGGUACAUCUUAUGUGUUCAAGUUCAGCCUACACCAUCCUUGCCUUCAGUCGUUACAGCUUCACAUAGAAUAUUGGCAGUUUUCACAUGUUGAUGUAUGGACAUGACAGUGUUCGUUUCCCAGAACUGUGAAAUGUACAACCAUGCCACGUAGAAAAGUGUGGAAGAUGGCAGCGACACGAAGGGCAGUCAUUUUCAGAGAGAGAGGGGUAAAUUCCUGUUAGUGUACAGGUAGCACUUCCUGUCAGUGUACAGGCAGCAAGUCCUGUUGUACAGGCAGCAUGUCCUGUCAGUGUACAGGCAGCAAGUCCUGUCAGCGUGCAGGGAAGCUUAGAAAAAAAGGUUAAAAAGCUUAGAAAAAAAUUUAGAAAAUCACAGCAAUGUUCAGCCAAUUAAAAGUACAUUACAGAAAAAAAUGCAAGGUGCAAUUUCCAAUGAAAGUUACUCAAUAAACUUAGAAAGUAAGGAUACUUUAAUUGAAAUUGAACAAAAGAAUUGUAUUCAGAAUGAACAGAGAGAUAAUCAGAACAGUUACUGUAAACGGAAUGAAAAUUUAUUACCCUCUGAAAACUCCUAUGGAAGUGAUGACCAGGGAACAAGCCGACCUUUAGAAAUGAAGAUGUGUACACUGCCUUUCCUUAAACUGAGCAUACAGAAAUGCUCCUGUGAAUAGGAUAAGUGUUGUGAAGUUUGUUUUUGGUUCUUUGCAUCAAAGUGCUGAGUUAUUUAGCAGUCAGUCUCGUGGUACUCAGUGCACUGCAAAUGUUACGGUGUCUUUGAUCAAUGCAAAUUACUCUAAUAUUUCUUGUGAAACAGAUCUGAACAACAUUCUAAUAGAUGGAGAUAGCUAAUAUUGUUAAAUAGUUUUUGAUCCGACUUCCGAAGCAAAAUACAGCAGCAAGUUAUUGAGUUUUGAAGAUUAUGAUAACUUUCUCUCACUUUAUGCCAAAACAUAGAAAAUAACAGAGGUCAUGUUGCAUGCAAGAUGGCUGCCAAAAAAAAAACAAUUAAUAAAAAAUGAAACAAAUACUUUUCAUAAACCAGAAAGUCAAACAAACAAAAUAAGACAAAAGUUGAAGUGUACAGCAAAUAUUUUAGCAAUUCCACUUUUAUUGACCAUUCAAAAUAUACUAUUGUAUGUUAUGGAUUACGCAGUCAUUUUUAUCACAAACAGUACUUCCUUCAAGUGAUAAAUUAAAAAUAACUCAAAGAGAAAUAUUACAGAUGCUAACAAUUUGUCCUACUGAUUUAACAUGUUUAAUGAAAAACUGUUCAACUGUAAUUCUACUGUAUAUACAUUUACGAUAUUAAACAAAGAUUAAACACAUAGCUCGGUUUAGAGGUUAGCCAUGUCAAUUUAAGUUGUUAAAAUAGGCUUAUGUUUGCAAAUAAGUAAGAUUCAGUGCGUUUUUAUAUGGGAUAAUUAUUUUUAGCAGCACAAAAAUGUAUCCCCUUAGUAGCCGUGAUAGCAGAGGUAAGCAUAAGAAUUGUAAUGAUUGCAUUUAGUUGUUGUAGGUUUGAUAAGAGCCGCAUUUUUGUUUGUAUUUUAUUCUUUAAAUCCUUUUCACUCGCAACAUGCCGUUAUAUGAAACCAUAUGCUCUCCUGAGAAAUACAUAUUAAGCGAAAAAAACAUGGAAUUGUGUUGCGUUUUGUGUUAUGCGUUUGUUUAGAAUAUUAAUACAACACGCAAUGAAUGUGUUGUAUACAUACAUGUAUGCAAAUAAAGUUAUUUAUAAUUUUGUCUAAUGCCUGGUUAGAAAAAUAUGGUGCCGUGGUCUCUUGACUCCAGGAAUUCACUGACACAGAUGAGGAAACGCUUAUGAAGCUUAUGAAGCUGCUUUGCAUUAAAAUCAAAUUUAAUUGUAUAUGGCGAUAAUAGUGAAACAUGCAUAACUACAAAAUGACGUAAAGAUAAAGAAAUAAAAAUAUAACUGAAAAAUAAACUGAGUAGUUGGAGUAUUGAACGCCAGUUACCUUUGUGACUUCCCGCCGCGCAACCACUAUGACAAUCUGAUUAGUUACUGUCACAAACUGACAUAUGGGCCUCAAUGUAUCUGUGGUUUAAAUGCAUGUAUUGCAUCAUCUUUUGGUAAAUUUUUAAGUU
rnacentral:lncRNA from 1 species